GAAUGCUCCUGCUGCUCUGAUAGGCCUUUUCAGUGGCCGCAAUGUUGGGAAACAAGUAGUAGCAAUUGCUCACGAGUGAUUUAGCUUUCUGUUCAGAUCAUGUAGCUGCAGUGCUCAGUCUUGUUAUGUUUUAUACCGUGCAACGCUUGUAUGUAUAGUUUCGUUAUAAUCAUGGAUUAUGGUGGGUUCCAUGUGAAUCACCAUACCAUAUAUAAUAAUUUCUUGUUUUGUAUUUGCUUACCUCUACUUGAUAAUAAA
rnacentral:misc_RNA from 1 species